rnacentral:rRNA from 1 species
CAUGCAAGGUCGAACGGUGAUGUCAGAGCUUGCUCUGGSGGAUCAGUGGCGAACGGGUGAGUAACACGUGAGUAACCUGCCCCCGACUCUGGGAUAACUGCUAGAAAUGGUAGCUAAUACCGGAUAUGACGAUUGGCCGCAUGGUCUGGUCGUGGAAAGAAUUUCGGUUGGGGAUGGACUCGCGGCCUAUCAGGUUGUUGGUGAGGUAAUGGCUCACCAAGCCUACGACGGGUAGCCGGCCUGAGAGGGUGACCGGCCACACUGGGACUGAGACACGGCCCAGACUCCUACGGGAGGCAGCAGUGGGGAAUAUUGCACAAUGGGCGCAAGCCUGAUGCAGCAACGCCGCGUGAGGGAUGACGGCCUUCGGGUUGUAAACCUCUUUUAGUAGGGAAGAAGCGAAAGUGACGGUACCUGCAGAAAAAGCACCGGCUAACUACGUGCCAGCAGCCGCGGUAAUACGUAGGGUGCAAGCGUUGUCCGGAAUUAUUGGGCGUAAAGAGCUCGUAGGCGGUUUGUCGCGUCUGCUGUGAAAUCCCGAGGCUCAACCUCGGGUCUGCAGUGGGUACGGGCAGACUAGAGUGCGGUAGGGGAGAUUGGAAUUCCUGGUGUAGCGGUGGAAUGCGCAGAUAUCAGGAGGAACACCGAUGGCGAAGGCAGAUCUCUGGGCCGUAACUGACGCUGAGGAGCGAAAGCAUGGGGAGCGAACAGGAUUAGAUACCCUGGUAGUCCAUGCCGUAAACGUUGGGAACUAGAUGUGGGGACCAUUCCACGGUCUCCGUGUCGCAGCUAACGCAUUAAGUUCCCCGCCUGGGGAGUACGGCCGCAAGGCUAAAACUCAAAGGAAUUGACGGGGGCCCGCACAAGCGGCGGAGCAUGCGGAUUAAUUCGAUGCAACGCGAAGAACCUUACCAAGGCUUGACAUAUACCGGAAACAUGCAGAGAUGUGUGCCCCGCAAGGUCGGUAUACAGGUGGUGCAUGGUUGUCGUCAGCUYGUGUCGUGAGAUGUUGGGUUAAGUCCCGCAACGAGCGCAACCCUCGUUCUAUGUUGCCAGCACGUAAUGGUGGGAACUCAUAGGAGACUGCCGGGGUCAACUCGGAGGAAGGUGGGGAUGACGUCAAAUCAUCAUGCCCCUUAUGUCUUGGGCUUCACGCAUGCUACAAUGGCCGGUACAAAGGGCUGCGAUACCGUAAGGUGGAGCGAAUCCCAAAAAGCCGGUCUCAGUUCGGAUUGAGGUCUGCAMCUCGMCCUCAUGAAGUCGGAGUCGCUAGUAAUCGCAGAUCAGCAACGCUGCGGUGAAUACGUUCCCGGGCCUUGUACACACCSCCCGUCAAGUCAUGAAAGUCGGUAACACCCGAAGCCAGUGGCCUAACCGCAAGGGAGGAGCU